ACCCGCUGAAUUUAAGCAUAUAAGUAAGCGGAGGACGAGAAACUAAACAGGAUUCCCACAGUAAUGGCGAAUGAACGUGGAGGAGCUCAACAUGAGAAUUGUGGCCUCCGGCCUUGAAUUGUAAUCUCAAGAUGUACUGCCAACGGAGGCGCAGGCGUAAGCCUCUUGGAAAAGAGCAUCGUUGAGGGUGAGGAUCCUGUUCGUCUCCUGCAGACCUCCGUGUACGGCGUACUUUCAAAGAGUCACGUUCCUUGGGAUUGGAGCGCAAAUCGGGUGGUAAAUUUCAUCUAAAGCUAAAUAUGGGUUCGAGACCGAUAGCAAACAAGUACCAUGAGGGAAAGAUGAAAAGGACUUUGAAAAGAGAGUUAAAAGUGCCUGAACUCGCUGUAAGGAAAGCGGAUGGAACCAGUCUCGCUUGGCAAGAUUGUCGCGCCGUUGCGCGGGGCUGAAGGGGACAGGUUGAACUUGAAAUUCCUUGUACCUGGAAGUGCACGCGUGCCGCGAUGUUUCUUGCCUUGCUUGUCACAAGCGGUUUGCGAUUGAAGACGACCUCUCGGGACAUGGAAGCUCGCCCCAGGGUGUGCGAACGUGCCUUGCAGAACUUAGUCGUAGACUGGCGCUUUGCCCAAGCGGUGGGCGGUAGCCAGCGCAGGUGGUGUGAAAACAGCUUGCGUUGCCCUUUGUUACGAGGGGUGCUGGUUUACGCCCGACUAUUGGUGCACUUGCUUUUGUGACUGAAUGGUUCUAUUCGACCCGUCUUGAAACACGGACCAAGGAGUCUAACAUAUGUGCUAGUCUUUCGCUACCACGGUUAAAGGCGCAAUGAAAGUGAGUGCUGAGAACGAGUAGAGAAACAUCAGCAGCCGACCAAUCAAUUGGGAGAGGUUUGAGCAUGAGCACAUGUGUUAGGACCCGAAAGAUGGUGAACUAUGCCUGAGAAGGGCGAAGUCUGCGGAAACGCAGAUGGAGGCUCGUAGCGAUACUGACGUGCAAAUCGUUCGUCAUACUUGGGUAUAGGGGCGAAAGACUAAUCGAACCAUCUAGUAGCUGGUUCCCUCCGAAGUUUCCCUCAGGAUAGCUGGAGUUGAACAGUUUUAUCAGGUAAAGCGAAUGAUUAGAGGAAUCGGGGACGUGCUGUCCUCGACCUAUUCUCAAACUUUAAAUGGGUAAGGUGCAGUGGUUACUUUGUUGAACUUCUGCGAGGAAUUGCAACUCCAAGUGGGCCAUUUUUGGUAAGCCGAACUGGCGAUGAGGGAUGAACCUAACGUUGGGAUAAGGUGCUCAACUGCUCGCUCAUCAGAUACCAUAAAGGGUGUUGGUUCAUUUUAACAGCAGGACGGUGGUCAUGGAAGUCGAAAUCCGCUAAGGAGUGUGUAACAACUCACCUGCCGAAUGGACUAGCCCCGAAAAUGGAUGGCGCUUAAGCGGGUGACCGAUACCCAACCAUUGUUGCAUCACUUGCGGCAUCAAUGAGUAGGAGGGCAUGGGUGCUUGUUGUGAAGCCUGUGGCGCAAGCCUGGGUGAAAUGGCUCCUAGUGCAGAUCUUGGUGGUAGUAGC
rnacentral:rRNA from 1 species